CCUACGGGAGGCAGCAGUGGGGGAUAUUGCACAAUGGGGGGAACCCUGAUGCAGCGACGCCGCGUGGGUGAAGAAGCGCCUCGGCAUGUAAAGCUCUAUCAGCAGGGAAGAAAGUGACGGUACCUGAAGAAGAAGCCCCGGCUAACUACGUGCCAGCAGCCGCGGUAAUACGUAGGGGGCAAGCGUUAUCCGGAUUUACUGGGGGUAAAGGGGGCGCAGGCGGCGCUGCAAGCCAGGAGUGAAAGCCCGGGGCCCAACCCCGGGACUGCUUUUGAAACUGUGUGGCUGGAGUGUAGGAGGGGGAGGCGGAAUGCCUGGUGUAGCGGUGAAAUGCGUAGAUAUCAGGAGGAACGCCGGUGGCGAAGGCGGCCUGCUGGACGGCAACUGACGUUGAGGCUCGAAAGCGUGGGGAGCAAACAGGAUUAGAUACCCGGGUAGUC
rnacentral:rRNA from 1 species